AUGGGCCUGGAAGAUACACCAGAAACAGAAGAAAAAGUUCUCAAAAUUGCGAAAGAGCGAUAUAGAGGCCGGUGGUCAACUCUAAGCUCCACUUACAAGGCAUACAAAACAGAUGCAGCUAGAUUGGCUAAUCUGCCGGAAGAUUUACAACCGGAAGAGUGA
rnacentral:rRNA from 1 species